rnacentral:rRNA from 1 species
GUAGUCAUAUGCUUGUCUCAAAGAUUAAGCCAUGCAUGUCUAAGUAUAAGCACUUUAUACUGUGAAACUGCGAAUGGCUCAUUAAAUCAGUUAUCGUUUAUUUGAUAGUACCUUACUACAUGGAUACCUGUGGUAAUUCUAGAGCUAAUACAUGCUAAAACCCUCGACUUCGGAAGGGGUGUAUUUAUUAGAUAAAAAACCAACGCCCUUCGGGGCUCCUUGGUGAAUCAUAAUAACUAAGCGAAUCGCAUGGCCUUGCGCCGGCGAUGGUUCAUUCAAAUUUCUGCCCUAUCAACUUUCGAUGGUAAGAUAGUGGCUUACCAUGGUGGCAACGGGUAACGGGGAAU